rnacentral:rRNA from 1 species
UACGGAGGAUGCAAGCGUUAUCCGGAAUGAUUGGGCGUAAAGCGUCCGCAGGUGGCAAUGUAAGUCUGCUGUCAAAGCGUCUGGCUCAACCAGAUAAAGGCAGUGGAAACUACAUAGCUAGAGUAGGGUAGGGGUAGAGGGAAUUCCUGGUGUAGCGGUGAAAUGCGUAGAGAUCAGGAAGAACACCGGUGGCGAAGGCGCUCUGCUAGGCCGUAACUGACACUGAGGGACGAAAGCUAGGGGAGCGAAUGGG